rnacentral:lncRNA from 10 species
CCCAGGAGGUGGAGCUUGCAUUGAGCCGAGAUCGAGCCAUUGCAUUCCAGCCUGGGCGACAGAGCAAGACUCUGUCUCAAAACAACAGCAACAACAUAACAGCUGUUUGAAGGCAUUGGAGAGCAACCAAGGCAGCCAGGACUUGAGGGACUGAGAACCUGAGAAAAGGGAAUCACAUUGAGAUGAGCCUGGCAGGUACUUAGAGACCAAGCAGAAAGUGGCAGCUCAGAGCUUCUGGGAUUCUCACAGGCCUGGGGAGGCAAAUAUUGGCAUUGGAAGCUACCAUUCAAUCUUCUGUGCCUCUUUUCCCAUUAAGAUAUUUGCCAAUCUCUAAGCUGUUUUGGGUAGGAGGUUACAAAGUCAAGCAGAAAAUGGCAGCUGAAAGCCCAUGAAAUUAAAGCUUUAGCUGUCUGAUGGUGUUAUGGAGAAAGGAAUUGGAGUCCAGGCAUCAAGGAGAAGGGACCCUGUAAAAACACUCAGCCUUUCAGGUAAGGUCCUUGGAAUGUGACACUCCAGCAAGCUAGAAACCAAAUAAACCUUCCCACCCCUACUCAAUUUCUCACACACGGGCCAGGCAUGAGCCACCAUACCUGGCUGUGAGACCUCAUCUCUACAGAAAAUAAUAAAAUUAGUGGGAUGUGGUGGUGUGCAGCUGUAGUCCCAGCUACUCUGGAGGCUGAGUCGGGGGAUCCCUUGAGCCAGGCAGUUCAAGGCUGC